rnacentral:lncRNA from 1 species
GUUUUUUCUUAGACCAUCUAGCUAAAGGUUUGUCAGUUUUGUUGAUCCUUUCAAAAAUAGAUAAUUUGGUUUAGUUUAUUUUCUCUAUUGUUUUUCUGUUCCACUCAUUUCUCCAUUUUCACAUUUAUUAUUUCCUUUUUUCUGCUAAGUUUGGGUUUCGUUUACUUUUCUUUUUCUAGUUCCUUAAACUAUAAAGUUAGGUUAUUGGAGAUCUUUCUUCUUUCUUUAUGGAGGAAUUUAUAGCUAUGGUUUUCUCUAUGAGUGUUGUUUUCUUUGCAUCCCCUAAGUUUGCUACGUUUUCAUUUUCUUUCCAUCUCAAAGUAUUUUCUAAUUUUCCUUGUGAUGACUUCUUUGACUCAUUAAUUUUAUUUAUUUGUUUGCUGAGUAAGAUUCACCCUGAGCUAACGUCUGUGCCAAUCUUCCUCUAUUUUUUAGUAUGUGGGCCGCGAGCACAGCAUGGCUGCUAGCAGAAUGGUGUAGGUCUGCACCCAGCAACUGAACCUGGGCCACCGAAGCAGAGUGUGCCAAACUUAACCACUAGGCCUCUGGGGCUGGCCCCUCAUUAGUUUUUAAAGAGUGUGUUGUUUAAUUUCCACGUAUUUGUUAAUUUUUGAGUUUCCUAUUAUUGAUUUCUACCCUCAUUCCAUUUUGGUUGGAGAAGAUACUUUGUAUGAUUUUAAUUCAAAAAAACUUCAUGAGACUGCUUUAUGGCCUAACAUGUGAUCUAUCCUGGAGAAUAUUCCAUGUGCUCUUGAGAAGAACGUGUAUUCUGCUGUUGUUGGGUGGAAUUUUCUAUAUGAGUUUGUUAGGUCUAGUUGGUUUUAUAGUAUUGUUCAACGGCUUCCUGUCACACUGUCUUGAAUCAGUUUCACUGGACACAGAGCCCAAUUUGGGAAUCCCUGUGCAGGUCACUUGUCGAGGAAGAACUCCAUGGCAGGCAGCUGGGAAGCUGUAUAGAGAUGUCCUCAGAGUCGUUCCACCAGCUGCUAAGGGAGUUAGGGUAUUUAUCUCCCACUGCUGAGGCUGCCCCUCAGGGGAUUCACUCUGCAUCCUUUCUGGCCUGUCCCUGUGUGCUGCUGAGCAGAGCCCUGAGGUCAGAGAUAGUGCUC